rnacentral:rRNA from 1 species
GGAUCUUUACCUCAGCGAAGCUAGUACGAAAGAUAGAGCCCUGUAGUCUAGCGUAACGAUGCUCGCUAGCCCUGUCCGAUUUAUCGGAGUCAUGGGCGUAAGCUAACGCGUGAAGCGAGCCGCCUGGGGAGUACGCGCGCAACCGUAAAACUCAAAGAAUUGACGGGGACCUGCACAACCAGUGGAGCAUGUGGUUUAAUUCGAAACGAACCGAAGAACCUUACCCGGGUUUGACAUGUAAUUCUUAAUGCCGCCUAGAGAUAGGUUGGAAUGUCAACUUUGUUGACAGGAUUACACAGUGUUGCAUGCCGUCGUCAGCUCGUGCGUGGGGUGUUCCCUUAAGUGGGGUAACGAGCGCAACCCCUGUCCCGAGUUAAAUAUUCUCGGGAGACUGGUCCGAUUUUCGGACAGGAAGCGGGGACGACGUCAGGUCAGCAUGCUUACGGGCCGGGCUACACACGUGCUACAAUGCGGUGACAAUGGGAUGCAAGGGAGCGAUCCUGCGCAAAUCUCAAAAAGCCGUCUCAGUUCGGAUUGGAGUCUGCAACUCGACUCCAUGAAGUCGGAAUCGCUAGUAAUCGCAGAUCAGCACGCUGCGGUGAAUACGUUCCCGGCCUUGUACACACCGCCCGUCACACCAUGGGAGUUGGGUUUACCCGAAGGUGGUGCGCUACCCGCAAGGGAGCAGCCAACCACGGUAGGCUCAGCGACUGGGUGAAGUCGUAACAA